GGACUGUGGCUCAGUGGUAGAGUGCUUGCCUAGCAUGUGUGAGGCCCUGGGUUUGAUUCUCAGCACCA
rnacentral:tRNA from 1 species